GGCUCAGGAUGAACGCUAGCGGCAGGCUUAACACAUGCAAGUCGAGGGGCAGCAUGACACGGAGAUUCGUCGAAGUGUUGAUGGCGACCGGCGCAAGGGUGCGUAACGCGUGAGCAACUUGCCCGUUUCUGGGGAAUAACCGGUGGAAACGCCGACUAAUACCCCAUAGUAUGACGAAGAGGCAUCUUUUUGUUAUUAAAGAACUUCGGAAACGGAUAGGCUCGCGUGACAUUAGCUAGACGGCGGGGUAACGGCCCACCGUGGCGACGAUGUCUAGGGGUUCUGAGAGGAAGGUCCCCCACACUGGAACUGAGACACGGUCCAGACUCCUACGGGAGGCAGCAGUGAGGAAUAUUGGUCAAUGGUCUGACGACUGAACCAGCCAUGCCGCGUGAAGGUCACGGCCCUAUGGGUCUUAAACUUCUUUUGCAAGGGAGCAAUAAGCCUCACGUGUGGGGCGAUGAGAGUACCUUGCGAAUAAGCAUCGGCUAACUCCAUG
rnacentral:rRNA from 1 species